rnacentral:rRNA from 1 species
UACGUAGGGUGCAAGCGUUGUCCGGAAUUAUUGGGCGUAAAGAGCUCGUAGGCGGUUUGUCGCGUCUGCUGUGAAAAUCCAGGGCUUAACCCUGGACCUGCAGUGGGUACGGGCAGACUAGAGUGCGGUAGGGGAGAUCGGAAUUCCUGGUGUAGCGGUGAAAUGCGCAGAUAUCAGGAGGAACACCGGUGGCGAAGGCGGGUCUCUGGGCCGAUACUGACGCUGAGGAGCGAAAGCGUGGGGAGCAAACAGG